AACGAACGCUGGCGGCAUGCCUAACACAUGCAAGUCGAACGGCAUGUAGCAAUACAUGAGUGGCGAACGGGUGAGUAACGCGUGGGAACCUGCCUAGUGGUAGGGAAUAACCGCGGGAAACUGCGGCUAAAUACCCUAUGAGCCCUCCGGGGGAAAGAUUUAUCGCCAUUAGAGGGGCCCGCGUCGGAUUAGCUAGUUGGUGGGUAACGGCCCACCAAGGCGACGAUCCGUAGCUGGCUGAGAGGAUGAUCAGCACACUGGACUGAGAUACGGCCAGACUCCUACGGGAGGCAGCAGUGGGGAAU
rnacentral:rRNA from 1 species